rnacentral:lncRNA from 1 species
AGGGAGGGAAGGAAGAGAGUUGGGGGCGUUAAGACACCCAAGUCAAACACACAGGCUCCUGACUGCACUGUUAAUGUCUCUCCUGUCUUGUCUAAAUAGCUGCUUUCUGGUCAUAUAUGGAAGAGUUUUCGCUUUUUUUUUUUUUUUUCCCUCUAGGUCAAUUUUAGGACUGUGCAGUUUACAGUGUAAGUUAAAGACAAAAAAAUUAAAAAAAAAAAAAAAGCUGCUUGGCACUAGCCGAGGGUUGUCCUUCGUAGUUUGUAGUACAAAGCAAUCUCCUAUGGCAUGCAGUUCGAGCAGAGGAGGGAGGAGGGAGCACGAGCGGUGCCAAGACAAUGCACAACCACUCUGUGGACAUCUGCCAUGUAGAGCCAGCUGCGGCUGGGACUUUGGUCGGAGCUGCCAACAUGUGAAAACUGCAUCGAGGGAUAGAAGGGAUAUCCGAAGACAUGGAAAUGUGCUCUUGCACUUGCAUGAUAUCAAAGAGUCAUACAGCUUUCUGUCAUGGAAAGCUUCCUCAAAGAUCUGAGGAGAGAGUUAUGAAGAUUUACAGG